UACGGGGGGGGUAAGCGUUGUUCGGAAUUACUGGGCGUAAAGGGCUCGUAGGCGGCCAACUAAGUCGGACGUGAAAUCCCCAGGCUCAACCUGGGAACUGCGUCCGAUACUGGAUGGCUUGAAUCCGGGAGAGGGAUGCAGAAUUCCAGGUGUAGCGGUGAAAUGCGUAGAUAUCAAGAGGAACACCUGCGGCGAAGGCGGGUUGCUGGGCCGACACUGACGCUGAGGCGCGAAAGCGUGGGGAGCAAACAGG
rnacentral:rRNA from 1 species